rnacentral:rRNA from 1 species
GAUGAACGCUAGCUACAGGCUUAACACAUGCAAGUCGAGGGGAAACGACAUCGAAAGCUUGCUUUUGAUGGGCGUCGACCGGCGCACGGGUGAGUAACGCGUAUCCAACCUGCCCAUCACUUGGGAAUAACCUUGCGAAAGUAAGACUAAUACCCAAUGACAUCCCACGAAGACAUCUGAAUGGGAUUAAAGUUUUAUCGGUGAUGGAUGGGGAUGCGUCUGAUUAGCUUGUUGGCGGGGUAACGGCCCACCAAGGCAACGAUCAGUAGGGGUUCUGAGAGGAAGGUCCCCCACAUUGGAACUGAGACACGGUCCAAACUCCUACGGGAGGCAGCAGUGAGGAAUAUUGGUCAAUGGGCGAGAGCCUGAACCAGCCAAGUAGCGUGCAGGAUGACGGCCCUAUGGGUUGUAAACUGCUUUUAUAAGGGAAUAAAGUGGGUCUCGUGAGACUUUUUGCAUGUACCUUAUGAAUAAGGACCGGCUAAUUCCGUG